rnacentral:sRNA from 1 species
GCUGGGUGCAGUGGCGCACACCUGUAAUCCCAGCGGCUUAGGAGGUUUAGACAAGAGGAUCAAAAAUUCAAAGCCAGACUCAGCAAAAAGUGAGGCCCUAAGCAAACAGUGAUAUCCUGUCUUUA